CGCCUCAUAGAGUGCGUUGACCAUGGCGCUCUCUAUUACCGCAACUACUUUUACCAACAAGAACACCAAAACUGGUUUGGAAUGGAUGAGAAUCUGGGACCAGUUGCCAUCAGCCUCAAGAGAGAGAGGCUAGAGCGCCCGCCUUCUUCAGACACCAACCCCUCCCCACCCCUCCUCUGCUACAGGAUAGUUAUUAGAACUAGUGAGCUGUUGACGCUACGGGG